rnacentral:tRNA from 1 species
GGAUCAAAGGUUAGAGCAUCGCAUUUGUAAUGCGAUGGUCAUCGGUUCGACUCCGAU